AUGGCAGAGCACCUGUCAGCCAGGGGUCAGGAGUCAGCCAGGGAAACAGAUCCACCAAGAGACAUAAAUGGGAGAUAUAUGACUUGUUACAGAGAUAUGAUCUCACAUAAUCGUGGGAGCUGGCAAGCGGUCUCUGCAAAGCUGUUGUCUUCACAUCUGAUGCUGAAGCUUGAAGUCCACAAGACAGGCAGCUACGAAGGAAAGAUAGAUACAAAGUGGGGGAAAUCGAGAACAAGCUGGAACCCCUAAGUAUGAGAUGGAACCCCACACUGAUGGACUAAAACCCGUGUCAAUCCUUGCUGCCUCUAUGUAAGUGGUAUGGGUAUCCUGCAGAAGCCAGGGUCCUUUGGUGUGGAGCUAAACGCAGACCCCUGGCCCAGACAUAGGAGCAGAAGAGCCGAAGGGGGAUUCAGGGGAAGUUCUACCGCUUCCCGCCAACGAGAUAUCGCAUGUUUCUUCUCAUCCGAUUACCAGAGAAGGCUAUGCCUGCAGUAGCCACCAGUCCCAUGAGGAUAUGACGUGUGUGGAGCAAGCCAGGAGAGGCACUCAACCUAGGUCAGCCUAGCCGCAGUUGACUGGCAGCUCCACAGUUUGGGAAUCCCAGGCAGGAGACAGAAAGUGACAUGAGGAAGAGACCCUAAAACUCCAAAUCUUCUUAACGCUUGGGAGAAACUUUAAUGUUUUGUACACACCUUUGUUUCUCCAAAACAGAGGCAGGGUCUAGCGCUUCAGACAACUGGGUCUCAACUCGCCCACCGAAUCCUCUGCCUCCACAGAGGGGACACAGCUUCUCUCGUCCGCCUGGGGUGCGACAGCCUCAGCCAACAGAGCCUCAGGACCCACAAUCUGAGAUGCCCAGAAUUCAGCCCAGACACUUCGGACGGUGGCUAAAGCUAUGCUUCAGAAGUUUGGUAAUUUAUUCCCCCACCUCAGUCCCCUAGAUGGCUUCAUGAGAAAAGAGAAACCAGCUCAGAGUCCAGUUCCUCCCACACAACUUCAAGAGGACAGAUAUGCAGCCCAUGAAGCAAAACUGGCAGAGCAAUGAAGUGUUUGCAGCUGCGUAGAGAUCAGACCCUCAGCACGGAGCCCCAGACCUCUCCAGAUGGCCCAGCAACCCAAAUCUAACCCAAACCCAGACAACUGAAGUAGUGUCUUCUCUCAACAGGCUCAGAUCUAUCCAACCUCAUCCAAUACAGUAAAUAAUCAUCGUGAAACCAAAGCCAUGGAAACUCAACUCUGGGUGUCCGUUCCUCAUGCGUCUUGUGUGACUAUUUUCCCUCUGAGCUUUCUUCUUAGAUGGAAUGAAUGACUUCACUUGCUUCCAACCACAGUGACUAAGACUCAAAGAUGGUGUUUGCUUGGAAAUAAAAUUUAGCUUCAUAGCAUCAUCCUGCCUCUAUGUGGAUCAUGUGUCUCUGGAUCUCCUUGCAUCAUUGAAAAAGACAGAGGGAGACCUGGAGACAGGAUGCUUCUGGGAAGUCCACUUAUGUCAUGGCAGAGUGAGAACUUUAUUCAUUUAUUCAACAAAUAUUUAUUGAACACCUGUUCUGUGACACAAACUACACUAUGUACUGGAAAUACCAUGAACAAGAUAAACAAAGUCCCUUCUCUUACAGGGUUUGCAUUCUAGACAGAAGGAGAUAGACAACGAACCAGUACACAGGUUGUGCCCCGCCUCCUUCCCUCCUAUUUCAAGAUCAGAGCUCUGGCGAAUGCAGUGGGACAUUGUGACGAUCUCCCAGAAGGGCCCAGACUCUACUUUUUUUCUGGCCCAAAUUCUCAUUUCUCCCUGUGAUUCCCCAUGAGCUUUGGCAUUCAUCCGGUUCUGCACUCAGGGAAGGACCCAAGAAAUCUUGUUGGUGCCAAGAUGUUCAGUAAACUCCAGAUCUGGGGCUCUUGGCUGACAUAGGUAGGCCACAGGAUGCCAGGGCCCCAGAGAGGAAGAGCAGAUUCCCGAGGAUCCCCAAAGAUGAAGCUCACCAACU